rnacentral:rRNA from 1 species
ACCAAACAGCUAGCUCAACCUAAAUGACGAGAUUGAUAACAUAGAAUAGUCUUUCAUAAACUAACCAAACCAACUAAAUCAUUCGACCACCCCAGUACGGGCGACAGAAAAG